UCAGUUUCAUCCUGUAAUCAUAGUGAUGGCACUUCUUGGGCUACCUUACUGUCGUCCUAGUCUGAAGUUAAUGAUUAGUCUAUAUAUACUAGAAGAGAGGAACAUCUUAGAUCUCGUAGACUCUGAUCAAUCAAUGUCUUUACCGAGAAAGCAGAGGGGUUUUAGUGCUUAUAUUUUUGUGCGAGUUAAUUUGUUCCAAACUAUUCUAUUAGUAGAUCUCUC
rnacentral:lncRNA from 1 species